rnacentral:rRNA from 1 species
UGGGGAAUAUUGCACAAUGGAGGGAACUCUGAUGCAGCGACGCCGCGUGAGUGAUGAAGGAAUUCGUUUCGUAAAACUCUGUUCUAUGGGAAGAAAAGGACGGUACCAUAGGAGAAAGCUCCGGCUAAAUACGUGCCAGCAGCCGCGGUAAUACGUAUGGAGCGAGCGUUGUCCGGAAUUAUUGGGCGUAAAGGGUGCGCAGGCGGCUUUACAAGUUGGAUGUGAAAUAUUGUGGCUCAACCACAAACGUGCAUCCAAAACUGCAAAGCUUGAGUUAAGGAGAGGUAAGUGGAAUUCCUGGUGUAGCGGUGGAAUGCGUAGAUAUCAGGAGGAAUACCGGUGGCGAAGGCGACUUACUGGACUUAAACUGACGCUCAGGCACGAAAGCGUGGGGAGCAAACAGG